rnacentral:rRNA from 1 species
UAGGGAAUCUUCGGCAAUGGACGAAAGUCUGACCGAGCAACGCCGCGUGAGUGAAGAAGGUUUUCGGAUCGUAAAACUCUGUUGUUAGAGAAGAACAAGGACGUUAGUAACUGAACGUCCCCUGACGGUAUCUAACCAGAAAGCCACGGCUAACUACGUGCCAGCAGCCGCGGUAAUACGUAGGUGGCAAUCGUUGUCCGGAUUUAUUGGGCGUAAAGCGAGCGCAGGCGGUUUCUUAAGUCUGAUGUGAAAGCCCCCGGCUAAACCGGGGAGGGUCAUUGGAAACUGGGAGAGGUGAGUGCAGAAGAGGAGAGUGGAAUUCCGUGUGUAGCGGUGAAAGGCGUAGAUAUAUGGAGGAACACCAGGCGCGAAGGCGGCUCUCUGGUCUGUAACUGACGAUGAGGCUCGAAAGCGUGGGGAGCAAACAGG